ACAGCUCUCCCUCUCCUCUUGCGUUUCCAAGCGCGGACAGCGCAUUGAACCAGACAUUUGGCCGCUUUUGCUCUAUCUGGAGUUGUGGAUACAAUUUCUACAGCCUCUUGGUUGGAGACUACAUCCCAUACCUGCAAAAAUGAAGUCUACUCUUUAGUUGUCAUCAAAGAAUAUACAGCUAAACAAGAUAACUCGAGCCUACGUAGUACAAUGUUCGUUUACUGUGGCCAACCCCCUUACUCUCAUUAGUUGUCAACAAAGAAUAUACAGUUAAAACAAGAUAACUCGAGCCUACGUAAUACAAUGUUCGUUUUGGCCAGGCCCUUAUGUUAAACUGAUAAAUCUCAAUCAAUUCUAUACAAUUUUUUAUCUUGGAGAAAUCUCCUGUGGGCUUCUUGUGCGACUUCACUGGGCACACACGAUCCAAACUCAGGCAACUAUAAGCACAUCCCUCUAUCAUUUUCCCAACUGAAUACCUGGUUUUGUCCGAAACACAGUUCAAACUCGUGAUGUGCGCCUAACCAACACAAAACAUGUGUUUCUUUUUUCUUUGAGAUAACCAAAGCCCUAGGAGCUAAAAACUGAUGAGCUUUUGACCAUAUGCUUACAGUUGUUGACCUACCUACUUUUUGUUCUAUGUGCCUAAUUAAGAAUAUGGUACUACUACUAAUGAUGAAGACAUGAUUGUCCUUGUUAGACUAAUUCUAAAAUUAGGAACCCAGAAGGCACAAACAUACCCCAUCAGUUGCCAACACAACAAAUUGAUCUUUGCCUGUGAUAUGCCUUUGAGUCACAUCAGGCACGGAAAUUAGACCAAAAUCUUUCACACAAUAGUCCCCGAAGGCUCUAGACAUCGCCAGUCCAGGGCAUUCUUCAUCUGGCAGCCAUAAUCGGUGCACCCCAGAUUCAUCAUCUAAGCAAAACACUCGACCAUUACACUGUGUUAUCCUCUCGGUUUCCUCUGCAAAACAUACAUUAAUAGCUUUUAUAUAUAUGGCUGUUUUGUGUCUAGUAGAGCAGAGAAAGAUAUAUAUAGAGGACUCACGAGAUAGAUUAGGCUUGAAAUCAAUAGUUAGCUGAACUGGUGCCAAGUUGCCAUCAUCACAAGUGGUAGCCAAUACAGCACGCGAGUCACCUACAUUUGCCAUAAAAAUUACCUCACCCUGCAACACAAUGAACACUAAUCUAAUUAGAGUUUAGCUUAUAUAUAUAGGCAUUACAAAUAAUUAAGCAGAUAUUCUUGAUCACAGAACUACGGACUGUGGAGUAUAUUUUGCUAUAUAGACACAAAAAGUUAUGAAUCUUUAUCUUCAUGCCCAUCAUUCAAAAACUUAAAAAAGAUAAAGUGAAAACAAAAAAGGAUGCUGUCUUUGCUAUUUUGAGGGAUAACACGCCAAAAAGUUUUAGAGAAAACAUCAUUUCGCUACCAGUUCCGUACUCAAAAACAGAAAGGGGUUAAAAAACUGUCAUACACUUGUCUUUAUUGGCAUUGCAAAAGAGCUCCCUUUACACAUUGAUAAUACAAUAAUUCAGUAUAUUUCUUACAUUGAGUCUCAGCUCUAACUAAUUUAGCAAGAGGGGCAUCCAAAAACACAGUAUGGAUUCACAAAACAAGGUCAAAAGCUUACACUUUACAAGGCCAAGUUGGUUAAAAAAGGAUAACCAUACAAGAAUUACCACACUAGUGAUUCCAAAAAGGAAGAGGAAAAAGAAAAACACUAAAGCUAAUGCAAUUACCUGUCUGACUAUUGUCAAAGCAGUGGUUCCACUGUAAAACGUAUCUAUCUUAGGAUGGUGUUCCAGCUCCUGAUCUACAGCUGCACAUGCCUUUAGGUAUGAGUCCUUCCAUAUAUUAAACCUUUGAAGUUUCUUAUCAGAAUCUAAAUCUAAAUCUGGAUCAACUGAAGCCUCCGCUAGACUCUCUUGCCAAUUGCAAAGCAACGAUGAUACUAUCGAUUCUCGAACCUUCUUUGCCACAAAAUGACCCCAUGGACCAUGCCCAUCAAAUAUACCGCAGAAUAUCAUAUCCUCUUGGCAUCCAAAUUCCUGCCAUCCCCACAAUGAACAAUAUGUUAGACAUAGUCUUGAGACAUAAUUAAGUAAAUAAAGGUAUACUUCAAUAUAGUUUCAGAACAUAGGUCCUGAGUUUGAAAAGCUACUGCUACAAUCAUAGAUAUCACAAUCGAAAAGAUUCACAGACUAGUAUAGAACAAAGAGGAGAUUUGGUAAUCAUAAUAGAGGAAGCAUACCUCCCAAACAAUGAAGCAAUCUUGAUUCACUCCUUUUUCACCUCUCCUAGAGAAUAAUGAAGCAAAAUUCUUAGAGCCAACAACAUUUACUGUCCCUGAAGACCUUAAUAUCAAGUCAUUUUUCUUGGCUUCUUUAGCCAUAGCUUCAACAGCUUCUUUACCAUCAUAUUUCCCAUUCCCAGUACAUCCAACAACAUUUACAGUCCCUGAAGACCUUAAUAUCAAGUCAUUUUUCUUGGCUUCUUUAGCCAUAGCUUCAACAGCUUCUCUACCAUCAUAUUUCCCAUUCCCAGUACAAUUCUUUCUUUUCUUCAAGGAAAAAGACCUUGCCAAUCCAUUAAACAUUGAAGAAAAAUGCUCCAUUUAGAGCUUAAUCCUUAGCUACUCAAAUAUGAAAUACCCCUGCAGCAGAAAGGCAAAAAAUUCUGUAACCCUCAAUUAGGCAUAUCAUAUUUAGUAAAAAAGUGAGUAAUAUACACAAACACUAUCACAUGAAGCCAAGUAAUUGGAUAUACUUAGCUGAGGUAAAAAGAUAUGUGAUCUGACUCAGAAAGUUAAGCAUCUGAAGGUUUUAAAGUACAGAAAUAUCCAAAAAUAAUGAAUCUGAAGAGGGAUUAAAGAACCUUUUAACAGUGCAAGAAAAGCAGAGAAUAUUCAAAUUCCAACUUGGAAUUCCAUCAGAAGAAAAGUGUCAGAAGAAUGAACAGACACCCAUCAAUCCACUAAAUCUAUAGAAUUCCAUACAUGGAAAUUUUUGCAUAAAAAGGACAAAGACAACUGCGUAACACUUUAAAAAGUUUCUCCUUUUUUUUUUUACAAUUUUCUCAAUUACCAAACAGAAUUAGAUAAGCAGAGGACUUAAAUAAUUCCUAUAACAACUAAAACCCAAAAAGCUAUGGAAAAAGUUAUCUUUUUUCUUCAUUUUAAUGGUAAACAGAGAAAAAGAAAUUUUCCCAGAAAUGAAUAAAACUUGAUUAACCUAACACCCGCAUGUUAUUUGAACUGACAAUAGGAAAGACCAUGUGAACCACCUCGGUUAAAGUUAUACUUCCGGUGGAAUAUGGUCGGAGAAAUGAGUGUUCAACUAGAACCACAGAGUUAUUGAGGAGACUGAAAAGCGGAAAAAGAUUGCCGGAAAAUGACGAAAUUCCGACGGGGUGAGCUAAGAUUUCGAGAGAAAGGAAGAGAAUCCAUUAGAAGAUUAUGUUGGUAGAUCCUUUUAAGGGAAAGAGAAGACAAGUUAAGAGGACUUUGG
rnacentral:lncRNA from 1 species